AAGAGACGUUGCCCUUCGGGGUAUACCUCCCACCCUUUGUUUAUUAUACCUUUGUCGCUUUGGCGGGCCCGUCCUCGGACCACCGGCUUCUGCUGGUCAGUGCCCGCCAGAGGACCUAAAACUCUGUUUGUUAAUAUUGUCUGAGUACUAUAUAAUAGUUA
rnacentral:misc_RNA from 1 species